UCAUUCCUCCCCGCGGGUGGGCGCUGUUCAGCCUCAAUGGCUCCUAAACGAUGACCGAGGACGCGACCAUUCACAAAAGCAAGCGGUUCUCAAAUUGAUUUUUACUAGGUCACAAUGGACCCGUUUGACAGCUCCAGUGCUCUGGAGGGGCCAUCAAAGGCUGCGGCGACAAACACAGAGGUACCGGUGCCGCGGUCGCGCUUCUCUGCCUGGCUCGAGUGUGUGUGUGCGUCGUUACCCUCGACCAUCUGACAGUGUUUGUUUAAGUGUUUGUUUGUAACAUCACCACUGUAACCACAGCAACAGCAGCAGCAUCAUCACUGUGUAUCUCUAACAUUCUUUCGCUUGUUAUCAGCUCGUUUACCCUCAUGAUGUCAAACUCACAGAGAAAGAGAAAACAAUAAUCUGUUUCUUAUCGUUUCCUGACUCAUACUCAGGUAAUGUGCUGGCUCAGGCUGAUCUGAUCCGUGCUUUCAUGAUGAACAGCUGAAACAUGAGCAUGACAGCUCAGUCACAUGAGUGCAUGUCUAUCCCAGGAUGCCUCGGGGACACUCCGUUCAGCUUCAGACUGCAGCAGUAGCUCUUGGUUUGGACAGGAGGAUGUGUACAACAAGGAUGCACCUGUGACCCUGCAGAAGGAGCAUGCACAUUUCCACGGGUAUGUGUAUUUCAGUCUCUGGUGGUGGUGUCCAGAUUGCAGUUUGUGAACCUUUUCCAUUCGUUGCUGAAGGUCAUUGCUCCGGAGUGCUUUGAAAGCAAGAACCUUGUCUGGAGACAGAAUCUGCUCCCUGCCCCCACAGUUCUUCCAUCAGUUCACGAGUUGGAUCUUUUCAAAUGUUUCCAGUCAGUCCUGGUUCACGUGCAGAUGCUCUGGGAGCUCAUGUUGCUAGGAGAGCCUGUGGUUGUUAUGGCACCCUCUCCAACCGUCUCCUCAGAGACUGUGUUGGCCCUGGUCAGGGUACAUACACAGCAUACAAGACAUUUCUACACAAAGAUAGAGCCCUCAUCAAGCGACUUUUAAAAGGUAUCCAGAAAAAAAGGCCAUCAGAGGUGCAGAGCGCCAUUUUGAGGCGGCAUCUGUUGGAGCAAACGCAGAGUUUCAUUCUUCCGCUGGAACGGUAUUUGGAAAGCCUCAUGCCGCCACAGAGAUCUAUGUCUCCAUGGAAGUUUGACCCCUCCUCAGAUCCGGUCUUUCAGUCAGGAUGAAUUCAUGAAGACCCUGGAGCAAGCAGGGCCACAACUAACUCUGAAAGGAGACUGGACAGGCCUGUACAGACAAGAGCUCGAAAACACCAGCUCCCAGUUAAAGAAGAACUCCUGGAGAGAUCAGAGCAGUCCAUCAUCAUCUCCAUGCCAGAGGAUCUACAGACAUUAUUACACAGACAGAGGCAAUCAGACUGACCAGCAGAUCCACUGAUACAUACACAGAGACCGUCUUUCCAGAAAAUACCAGCUAUAUUUGAACCCAUAACACUUGCACAGGUACCAGCCCACAUUUCUUCUGGUAAACCCAUACACUACCUGAGAGUUCUUUAAUUUUGGAUGUACAGUACAGUUGAGAAACAACAGAUACUGCUGCUAUACAGGGUCCUAGAUGACACAUGAAGAACACAGAAAACAUUGAUACUUGGAUUAAAAUCAUUUGAAGUCCUCAGCUAGGCUUCACACUAGAUUUUAGAUGUCUGCUAAAUUACAUUUUAACGUGCACCAAGUAUUUAAAGCCUGCAGUCAGUUAGCACUGCAUGAACAAGGCAUUUAUUUUAUAAAUCAAUAUUUAGUCAAAUAAGAUCAACAAACUGAGUUUUAAUUAGCAUAUGCAGAAAAGUUCAUAAAUAUGGAUGACUUAGUUUAAGAUGGUUUUAUGAGUAUUUAUUAAGCAUCAAUGAUUUUAUUUCAGUGAUGUUGUUUGUUAUUAUUUAGGGACAUUAAGAAGCAUAUUAGUAAAUGCACAGCAGUGCUUUUGGCUAUUAUUUAUUUACACCUUACCUGACCUUUAACCUUUGCACGGGAGCAACUCUACUGCAUUGUUUAGUCUGUUUUUUUUUUUUCUUUUUUUUACAAUUUUUAUGUUAGAAGCUGAUUGUCUAGGUGUUUUUUUAAGGGGUUUUACAAUUUAGAUUCAGUCUUAUUUAGAGUUGGAUUUACUCUAAAUAUAUCUGUAUAUAUAUUUAUUUUUUGAUCCAAACCUGAAAAGGAAAUGGUUGUUCUACUUUUUCAUUUGUAGUUUGUGUAGGGUCCAUUUUUACCGUUUUUUUUUUUUUUUUUUAAAUGGUUGUAAGUUUUACUUUAAAGUGUGCCGCUUCUGCAGUAUUUUAAAAUGUUUAUUUGAAAGAGCCAUAUGUUUUUAUGGUUGGGACUGUAUUAUUAAAAUAUGUUUUAUCAAACCAGCAAUCUGCCCGUUAGUAGAGAACUCAUAAACUGAACUGAACUUGCUAGGUUUUCUUUUUUUAUUAUUGUUACCAUAUAAUUAUUCCAAAAAAUAUUUGUAUUGUUAAAAAGUUGCUUAUGCAGUGUAGUGAUGGAUUUUACAAAUCAUAUACAGAAGAUUAAAUGUUUUUAAAUAUAUUGUAAUAAUAAAAUGCUGGUUGGUCAA